rnacentral:tRNA from 1 species
GGGCCUGUAGCUCAAUUGGUUAGAGCUGUCGACUCAUAAUCGACCGGUCGCCGGUUCAAGUCCGGCCGGGCCCACCA